rnacentral:tRNA from 1 species
GCGGGCGUGGCGGAACUGGUAGACGCGCCAGGUUUAGGUCCUGGUGGCCGUAAGGCCGUGGGGGUUCGAGUCCCUUCGCCCGCACCA